AGAAAAUUGAAAACAACUCAGUGGAAGCCGUUUGACUUCUGAGGCACAUUCGAAAAUGGAAGCCUUUACUUCUGGGUUUUUGGUGUUCGAAAACUGAAACAUUUGACUUCCGAGACGUUCGACAACCGAGGUACCACAGUACUGAUAGGGCAGGGUUUGCUUGCCUUACUCCAUAUGUGCUGUUACAAGUAUCGCAUAACACUCAUUCCACGCUUGUAAUAAGAAACCAUUAUUUUGUUGUGGCAGCACCUACUCUUUGGAACUGCCUAUUGACAUCAGGCAGGUGCCUUCACUGUACACUUUUUGGGACCCACUGAAAAGGUUUUUCAGUAGGAAAGUCUAUCUAGACAUGCAGAAACUGAGAUUAAAACACACGUCUUUUUAGCUUAUUGUUGACUUCAAUUAUCCUUUGAAUGUUUUCAACAGUCUUUUAUUUGAAGGGGUUUUUGUAGACUGCUUUUAGGUUUCAUUACAGUCAAAAUUUGUUAAACAUCUAAGGCCAUGGGUAGGAAACCUGUGCGCAUCUAGAUAUUGCUGAACUCCAACUCCCAUCAGCCCCAGCCAACAUGGCGAGUGGUCAUGCAUGAUGGGAAUUGUAGUCCAGCAAACAUCUGAAGGGCCAUGGAGGUUCUCCACAUUUGAUCUAGGCAUUUUAUGAACAUAACACACUUGGUUGCAUUACUCAUGACACAAAGGGGGCUUUCUCGCUGCCCUGUAUGUGGAAUGCCUCCUUCAGAAAGCCUCUUUUUGAUGCUAACACUUAUUAAGAAAGCUGAACCCUCCCUUGCCCUUAGACUUUUCUCUCAGAAGUGAACCGCUCUUGAGGGAAAAAAUUCUGCAUCCACAGAGCAUGAAGAAAUAAGAUGGAGAAAUGGUUUAGAUCCCUUCAACCAUGUAUGCCAUUUGAUGAAAAAAACCCACAAACACCAGAGUACCCUGCCUCACUCCAUGCUUUAUAUUUGAAUGGGGUAGAAGACAAGUGAACAAACAAACAUGGCUGCUGCCAUCAUGUCAAGCUCAAAUUAAAACAUCUGAGGAAAAUUUAACAGCUUUAGUCAAAUGUUUAAAAUUACUGCUGAAGUAGUGCUUGAAUGGAGUAGACAAGUGAACAAACAAACAUGGCUGCCACCGUCAUGUCAAGCUCAGAUUAAAAUGUCUGAGGAAAAUAUAACAGCUUUUGUAGAAUGUUUAAAUUAAAGUAACCUAACAGGCUUUGGGGAGGGAGGGAAGAAACUGGUGGCUGCAGUUGGGGGGAAGAUGUCACCUCAUACACAGAGUUCCCUUUUGCCCUGAACCUUUUUCCGUGCGGAAAAAAAGAUGGUUGCGUUGAGCCGGCAGAAUAUGUUUCGUGCGAGCGAGAAGAGAAAGGGGGAUCUCAGCCCUGAUUGUAAUGGCUUGGUAGGAAAUUAAAGCUGAUCUCCUGGCUCUUCAGAAGAGCUCGCAUCUUCCUGAUGGGCUCUGAUUCCGCAUUACUGAAAGGGCUUGAUUAUUAUUCCGUGCAAAUGAGAAGUAAUUCCACCGAAGCCAGAAUGGCUGCUUUUUCUGUGGACUUUGCUCCUAGCAUAGUUAAAUAAAUGCUUGGUGGUGCCUCCUUCCAGUCUACAUUGCAAAUUACUGAGGCCUUAAUUGGGUCCUCCCCCCUCCAAAUUUGGGCAAAUUAGCCUGUGUUUGUGUGGCUCCAACUUUUAGCUUGAAAUUGUUGGUGUGGAUUGUGCCAUUAUGUCUGGAAGCACAUUACUAGGUUUUGGUAAUUUGUGCUCCGGUAGCCUCCCAGUUGGAUUACUGCAAUGUGUUGCACUUGGGGCUGCCUUUGAAGAUAGUCCAGAGUUCAACUGGUGCAGAAUAUGGCUGCCAUGAUUUUAACUGGGACCACAGGCAUCAUGAAGACAUUAAUGUGUCUUUUCUGGCUUUCUGAUUGUUUCCAGGCUCAAUUCAAAGGCUUGGUUUUGACCUAUAAACUCUGCAGCGAUCGAGACCUUGAUACCUGGCGGACCACUUCCUGCCCUUGUCCUAAAAUAAUAAACAGAGGUCCUUCUCCAAGAAUCAGGUCAGCCUGAGAUAUGGAGGGUGCCAUACGGGAGGAAGGCUUUGCUGUCCAUAGAGGGGUUUGCUUGGUGUUCACGCUGCUGUAUUUUCUGUGCUAGGCAAAGAUUUUUAUUCUCCCAGGUCUUUUAACAUAAUCUUAAAUAUCUAUUUUGCCAUCCGUGGAACUUUUAAAGAAUGUGUAGGUUAGCGUUACCAUAUUUCAAAAAGUGAAAAUCUGGACAGAAAAGUCAUUGAGAUUUUUUUUGACAAUCUCUCAAAAAAUUGAAGAUUGCCAGCUAUUUUUAAGAGAAAUCACAAAAAAUGACACUGCCAACAUGGGUUGCCAUACGUCUGGAUUUUCCUGGACAUUUAAGCAAUUUCUGCCCAGACACUGUUUGCGACAGCCAAUUACUGGCUAUGUUCAGGAAAUUUUGGAUGUAUGGCAACCCUAGUAUAGGUGAUCUUUUGAACUAUUUAAUUUAUUUUGUCUUUGUGGUUGAAGGUGAUGGGCUGUUUUAGUUUUUGUGGUAUUCUUUUAGCUAUUUCAAAGUGUAAAGUCAUCUGCUAUUACUUCUUAUUUGGGGUUUUAAGGGAUUUUUAAAAAAGAAUUUCCAUGUUGAUUUUUCCUGUAUUUAUCUGCUAUAUAUUUUGGAAAGUGGUUGGUCUGUCUGUCUGUCCAUCCAUCUAUCUGUUCUCUAUAUGUUUGGCCUCCUCUUGAGAGACCAUUGCCAUGAGGGUUUCUGAGGUGGGGGCAGGGGUCGUCAUUGACAUUUGGACACUAGCUGCCAUUUUGAACCAACAUGGCGGACCAAAAUGUGACUUUGGCUUGACUUUGUCAAACUCAAAAAUUAUACUUUCCGUUUAAAAAUCACAUUUAUUGGGUUUUUACAAAUUCCUGGGCACUCCCCACUAGAUAUAAUCUGUAGGUCACCUAGGGGUCCCCUCCCCAUAAAUAAAAUAUGUUUUAGGCACAUAAAUAAGUCCAGAUGGCACUGGACUUAUUUAUAUCUAGGUGCAGUCAUGAGUUCAGUGUGUCCAGUUAUUGUGAGAGUCAAUUAAGUUUUUGUCUAUCUUCCUUUGUCCUCUAAGCCUUUCAUGAUAGCAUUCCAUUUUAUAAUUAUUAUUCCUUUCUCCCCACCACCUUUAGUCUCAUUAUGAUGCAGAUAGGAGGUGAUUAUGUUUUAAGAACAUAAGAAGAGCCUGCUGUUUCAGGCCAGUGCUCAUCUAGUCCAGCAUCCUCACAGUGACCAGUCCGAUGCCGAAGGGAAGCCUAAAAGCAGGACAUGAAUACAACAGCACUCUUCUCAUGUGCAAUUCUGAGCAUUCUGCCUCCGACAGCUGCAGUAGAGCAUAGCCACCAUGACUAGUAAGUAGCUUUUGGGUUGUAUUCGGCCAAGUUACAUUCAUAGACCCAUUGAAAUGAGCAGACUGGUUAGUCAUGCACAUUCGUUUCAAUGGGGCUGCUCUAAGUAGGAUUAAGAUUAGCCCAGCCCAUCAUUAGCUUUGUUGUUUAGUCGUUUAGUCGUGUCCGACUCUUCGUGACCCCAUGGACCAGAGCACGCCAGGCACUCCUGUCUUCCACUGCCUCCCGCAGUUUGAUCAGACUCAUAUUUGUAGCUUCGAGAACACUGUCCAACCAUCUCGUCCUCUGUCGUCCCCUUCUCCUUGUGCCCUCCAUCUUUCCCAACAUCAGGGUCUUUUCCAGGGAGUCUUCUCUUCUCAUGAGGUGGCCAAAGUAUUGGAGCCUCAGCUUCACGAUCUGUCCUUCCAGUGAGCACUCAGGGCUGAUUUCCUUCAGAAUGGAGAGGUUUGAUCUUCUUGCAGUCCAUGGGACUCUCAAGAGUCUCCUCCAGCACCAUAAUUCAAAAGCAUCAAUUCUUUGGCGAUCAGCCUUCUUUAUGGUCCAGCUCUCACUUCCAUACAUCACUACUGGGAAAACCAUAGCUUUAACUAUACAGACCUUUGCUUUCAUUAGCUUUAUCUUCCUUUAUUUUGCCUGAUCUUCUCUUUAAGCCAAAUUGAUGGCCAUCACUACUUCUUGUGGGAGCAAGUUUCAGAGUUUAGCAAUGUGCUAGGCAAAGUAAUACUUUAUUUUGCUUGGCCUGAAUCUUCCAGCAUUCAGUUUCAUGGGAUGGCUCCAAGUUCUAGUGUUACGAGAGACGGAGAAAACCUUUUUUCUAUGUGUUUUCUCUAUGACUUUUCAUUGCAAAAUACACCAUCAUCUCCUUUUUUGGUGCAGGAGAGAUAUCUUGCAUCUGCUGCCAGUUUCAUUGAAACGUCAUCUCUCCCUCUGUCCCCCUGGAGUUCUAUAAAAAGAAAUGCUAGGAAUUCUAUACUAUUUUUGUUUUGAAAGCUAAAGAGGUAAGCUGCUUUGAUAGCUGAACAAGGGGCUUGCCUCUUCAGCUUCCUGAAAUGCUAACGUUGCUUCAAAAUGUGAUGGGAAUUCUGGGGGAUUAGAACAAAUGAAUAAAUUGUUUCCUUGCAUUGACUAGCUUUGUUUUGCUUUUUGCUAACAUUGUAGAGAUAUUUUCAGUACACACGGGUGGGUCUUGCCUGUAUAUUCCUGUUCCCAUUUGGAUUACAGCUUGUGUUCUUGUUCCUAAACCUUUCAAUAUCCUAGCUCCUCUUUGCAUUACAAAGAAUUCUAAUAAAUUCAGUGCAAAGAUGCUCAGAACAACACACCGUUCUAACCUCCCUCCCCUUAAAAAAUAAAUUCUGAUAAGUAGUGGUUGGCUAUAUGUAUUUGUGCCAGAGAGAGGGGUAGGGAAGAGGGUAAAAAUUUCCUAGCCUUCUUUUUUCUCUCAUUACUUCAGAUUUGAUUAUUUUCUAAACCAAGGAAAUAGCCUAAGACCACGAUUUAUUCAUCAGACACGCGUUGGGAUGAUGUAAUUCUGAAUUGCAAGCGAGGCAGGGGCACCAGAUCAGUAUAAUUCAUUCCUCUCUUUCAGACACCAGCCCUCCUGCUGUAAAAUCUGCACAGCGCUCUCCCUGCAGAGAAGCUUAAUUGUUUCACCUGAGGGGGGGCGGUGGCUUUCCUGUCCCUUUUUAUGCAGGAGCGCUCACUUUCAGAGGAGCAUCUGCUCCUGUGAAUGUGUUUAUUAUCCCAAAACCUUUUCCUCUGGUUUGCAUCGCAGCUUAAAAAUGUUAAGAAGUUUGCUGCUGCUAGCCUCAGUCAAUAGCUCACAAGUAAUAUUCAGAUAAACCAGCCUCUCUGGAUGCAAUUCUUAUGCUGCACAGAUGAUGAUGGUCUGUGCUCGCAAUAGUAUCGGGGUGGUUAUAUGCGACCCUGCGUGUUGUUUGCGCCAACAAAAGUUCUGAUACAGACACAACAGACUUGUUUCCAGUCAGUGCACGUCCUGUAGCUUCCUUCUGAAGCCCUGUAACUUUUCGUGCCACGAAUGUUCCAGGUUAUUUUUUUGUCUCACGCUGUUGUGCUGUAGCGCACGAGUGCCCUUCCAGCCGGCAAUAAUGCAGUAACAUUGGGGAAACAUCGUUUGACGCAACCAUGUGUAACCACUUUGUAAACAAAUCACAGUGAAUGCUCAUUAAACAGCUGAUGUCAUCUAACCUCCCUACACACUUUCUGCAAAUAAAUUAGGAUGAACGCUCCAUAAACGGGUCUUCUGGAAGCGACCAGAAUGUCAUUUCUGGCUGAGGAGUGUACUGGGACUACAUGUCCCAGCAUCCCUGCCGAGGAAUCAGGACCAGGUCCAGGUCCAGGGCGUGGGUUUCCUCUGAUACCCUGCUGGGCUGACCUGGCAGUGAAUGCAGCGGUAAUGCUACUUCAGGGGCAUUGUGGGAAAAUUAAAAUGGCAUCUAGAACCAGUUACCGGCUGCUGUUCAGAGCACUGGGCUGCAGUGAAAAAAUAAAAGGGGCCCCCAGGGUCUUAGCAGCUGCCUAAGGAUGUCAGGGACGCGGGUGGCGUUGUGGGUUAAACCACAGAGCCUAGGACUUGCCGAUCAGAAGGUCGGCAGUUCGAAUCCCUGCGAUGGGGUGAGCUCCCAUUGCUCGGUCCCUGCUCCUACCAACCUAGCAGUUCGAAAGCACAUCAAAGUGCAAGUAGAUAAAUAGGUACCGCUCCGGCAGGAAGGUAAACGGCGUUUCCGUGCGCUCCUCUGGUUUGCCAGAAGCAGCUUAGUCAUGCUGGCCACAUGACCCAGAAGCUGUACUCCAGCUCCCUCGGCCAAUAAAGUGAGAUGAGCGCCGCAACCCCAGAGUCGGUCACAACUGGACCAAAUGGUCAAGCGUUCCCUUUACCUUUUAAGGAUGUCAGAGGCUGACCUCUGCCCUGUAGGAAGGUGAUGCUAUUUGCUUCAUUUUCCAUCAGUAAAGGCAAAGGGACCCCUGACAAUUAUGUCCAGUCACAGACGGCUCUGGGGUUGUGGAGCUCAUCUCGCUCAUUUCCACCAGUAGAGGGGGCUAAAGAUUAGGAUAACAGAGGGAAGGUGUGGCAAACUUACCUGAGUAAAGAGUAGGAAUGAAGGAGAAAUUUAGGGCUUGUCCUAGAAUGUGUGGGUCUGAUUGGUUUUCCUCUUGAUUCACACUUUCUAGGCAUGGGUCUUAUCAGUUCUCUCCUAGCCACGCUCCUUCCCCAGGGAGAUCCCGCUCUUUUGUGCUAAAUCGGAGCAAACAUAAAUCUGGAGAAACCCUGAAUUGCUGUUUGCUCCAGUUGAGUGCUAAAGAGUGGGUUUUCUGUGGAGGGAAGCAGCAGGGCAAGAGGAAGUGAGGAUAAGCCCUCCGUUGGCAUUUUAAUGUGAACCUACCUAAUUCACACUUACUGGGCCAAAACAUGUACCGAAACACACCUGUCUUUCAAAAUCCGUAGUUCUCUGAAUUUUGUGAUGUAGUUCACUAAGCAAAACUUGAUUGCAGCUGCAUUAAAAAAAAUUGUGUACAUUAGGAAAAAGUGUGCAAAAAGGGUAUGCAUUAGAGAAAAUAGCAUACCAAAAAAAAAUUAGGGGAAACUGCUUGCAAAAAUGUCUGUUGGGAGAAAUGCUGAUAAUUUUUAAUGAGGACUUUCCCCCUUUCUUUUUCUUUUAAAUGCAAACUGAUGCAGAAAUUUAGCAAACUGAAUUCAAGAAUGGAAAAAUGAGAAAUUAAAAGAGCUACUCUGAGCCUCCCCCCAAGACCUGGCCCAGAGAGCUUGCAAAGGUUGGUCCCUUUUCUUGGACAUAUGCUUCCUCCUGUUUCUAUUGCUUGGCGAGAAAUGUCUUCUCUUUGAAACAGCUCUGCUAUUUUUAACAUAGUUAUUCAUCCCCAUCAGCAUUUUGGAUGGAAGGAGACUGAACAAUAGCAGCUGCCACAAAUAUAAGACAGGGUGUGGAGGGUGAAAUCCAGGAGUGGGAGGCAGGCAGGCAGGUUGAUCAUGGAGAAGAGCUUUUCCCAUUUCCUGUAAUUUGUCUUGACAGGUCAAUUCUAUUGUUGCUGAGCGGGAAAAAAUGUGAUUAUGAGAGACGCGUUUGCUGCUGUUGUGAUUCCCACCCCCCGACCCCCUGAUUAGGCUUCUGUUUAACGUAGCAAAUAAAUAAAUAAAUGAAGUGUAGAACAUAGCUAUUCUCAAGAGUCAGCUCCUUGGGAAUCCUGCCCUAACCAGGAAAAUGCUAUAAAAAAAAUCCUUCCAGUAGCACCUUAGAGAACAACUAAGUUUGUUCUUGGUGUGAGCUUUUGUGUGCAUGCACACUUCUUCAGAUACACUGAAACAGAAGUCACCAGACCCUUAUAUAUAGUGAGAGGGUGGGGAGGGGUAUUACUCAGAAGGGUGGUAGGGAUGGGUGAUUGCUGUCAAUAUCCUGGAUCAGCCAGGCUGCAGAGCAAGGUGACCAGAUCCCUUCUCAUGUUACAUCUGGACACAUCCACACCAUAUAUCUAGUGCCCAUGGAUUACGCGGAAGAAUCCUACAAAGUGUAGUUUAAAGGCACUGGGAAUUACAGCUAGUUCUGAAGGGUAAACUGCAGUUCCCAGGGGUCUUUGGGGAAAGCAAAAUACGUUAAAUGUGCUUUCACCUUAUGGGUGUGGGUGUGACCUGUGAUUAGUUUGCUUCAGUAGUAGUCAUAGUCACAAUCUAGGUAGUUACAGAGUGGCAAGAUGAUGGAUUCUAAGCCAUGAUUCUAAGUUACUGUCCACUAGGGCUAUGUUCCACCUGUAUGGUCAGAGGCAUUAUGUCUCUGAAUUCCAGUUGCCAGGAUUCACAGGAGGAGAGGUUGCUGCUGCACUCAUGUCUAGCUUGUAGGCUUCCCAUAGGCAUCUGGUCAUCCACUGUGAGAACAGGAUCCUGGGCGGGAAGAGUCACUGGCCUGAUCCAGCAGGCUCGUCUUACGUUCUUAUGACUGUAAUAGGGAGCUCUGUAUAGUUCCAGGGUGUCAUGGGCCAGGAGUUGGCUUCACCUGCUGAGCAGCAGCCUGAAGGGGCAGAAGGUGAAGUGACUCCAGCUGCAGCUGAUCAGCCUUCUUGCUCCUGAUGAGAACCAGCUGGCUCCAGCUUUCUUAAGCAGGGUUUCCAGCCUCAGUCAGUUGCUGGAAACAACCAGGGCCUUGCAGAGCCAGGCAGAGGCCCGGGACAGGUAGAUAAUGUGCCCCCCCUUUCUUUACCCUGGGAAUAACUGAAGUCUUAUAAAUAAGUAAGUAUAUAAAUAAUUUUCACAAAGGUUAUGCUGACAAAUAAUUUUAUUUCAAGGAUUGAACCGUAUCUGCAUAUACAGUGGUACCUCAGGUUAAGUACUUAAUUCGUUCCGGAGGUCCGUACUUAACCUGAAACUGUUCUUAACCUGAAGCACCACUUUAGCUAAUGGGGCCGCCUCCUGCUGCCGUGCUGCCAGAGCCCGAUUUCUGUUCUUAUCCUGAAGCACUAUUUCUGGGUUAGCAGAGUGUGUAACCUGAAGCGUAUGUAACAUGAAGCGUAUGUAACCUGAGGUACCACUGUAAAGACAAAAUGGAAAAUAUAGAUAAAUAUGCUGACUGAGGCCCCCUUUGGAAUUGGAGGCCCAGGCCAAGUGGCCCAUAUGGCCCCCCUCUGUCUGGGCCUGGAAACAACAUUAGUCAUUCCUGCCCAGAGCUCGCUGCUUCUUGUGACCUUGGAGCCUCUGCUUUCUUGACCCCCAGAUCAACUGACUAUGUGAUCAUUCCUGACCUUAGGACUGGACUGAACCUUGUAUAUGGACUCUGCCUACAGGCAAGUACCUCCGCCUGAGACUCAGCCAGUUGGCUGGCUUCUCCCUCCACUGAGCUCUCCAGUUGCUGGGCUCUUCCAGAUGAUGCGUAAGUUGCACAUUCAUUCUGAUAUGCUUGUGCAGAGGUUAUACGACAAGGAACAUUCAUCCUGAUUUCAUUCUGAUUUGCUUGCAUGGUGGUUGUAUGCAACUUCCAGUUGAUCAGCUGUUUAUGUCAAGGGAAAAUGGCUAGGCCUAGACUUUGGUCAAGAAAACUGCUUACAUGACAGGGGAUGGGAGGGGUGAUGAAGAAAAUGGGAAGGCUCCGAGAACAUACAGUCUGCUCUGUAAUCACAAGGAUAUUAUUUAAGCUGAUUAACGUGUUUUGAGCUUGUGUUGAAAACACAUUGUACAAUGAGAUAAAGAAGUAUGCUAGUAUGGGGUUGUUGUUUUUCUACAUGAGGUUGGUAUUCUCUGCUUAGGGUAGAAAAGCUUGUAACACUCAGUUGUUGAGUUGUUUCUCCCUGCCCCCUUGUAAUAGAGGAGGACCAGGUCAUGUUCUAAUCAAAGCAUAAUACAUGGUUCUUUUCCACAACAUUUAUCACAGUUUUUAGUGCAUUUCCCUGUCAUCUUCCUAACUGCAACAAGUCUUUUUCUCCCCCAAAGUGGAUUUGUUUCAAUGGAGCCCUUUGAUAUACUUUAAUUGCACAAACCUACAUUUGUAGUAUGCAACUGAAUCCCUCCCUCACGAUACCAAGGGUGCUUCCUGACUGUCACUAUUUUUGGAUGGGAUUCAGUCACAUAUUGACAAAUUCAGCUUGUCAAGUUGAAAGUUGAUUAGGAGGUCUUGCACAACCAAUCUGUUCCCCGCCACCCAAAAGAUCUGACAUUUUGCAAUAAGUAGAGUGAUAGCAAAAUGCACUGGAAAGUGUGAGAUACUGCUAGCUUGGUGCAGCGUCAUAUAACUUCCUUGCAGACUUUGUGCAAACUAAUCAGGAUAAAUGCUCAAUAAGUAGCUUGUCUCGAAGCAACUCACAUAGACACUGCCUACCAGAAAUGUUUUACUUUGUGCCAAAACACUGACCCACCCCCUCAUUUAAGCACAGUUCUGCAAAUAUUUUAGAAAAUCUGGGUGCAAUAUCUUAAGAGAUUGAAAAUGUAUAGUGAACAAACAACUUUCCAAAACAUAUAGCAGAUUAAUUUGAGUGCACAAAGCUUACGAUCUGGUUAGACUAUCUCUGGUCUUUAUUGAGCAUUAAUUCUGAUUUGUUUAUGGGACAAUUAUAUAACUAUGAACAUUCAGCCUGAUUUGCUUUCCACUUCCUCCUGUUAUUCAUCCGCCCAGCCCAUAUUUUUCAAUGGAUUUUCAACGCUUUCCCCCAUCGCUUUCUCAAAUGCAAAUAGUCUGUUUUGUAAAUAAAGUGGAUUGGGUUUGCUAGGAUAACCCAGCACUUUAACCCACUUCAAAUGAGCAAACAUAAAUUACCAGUGCAGGCUUGAAUCCCUCUUGCAAAUAGUGAAAACGAGGCAGCACCUCCCCUGCUUAAAAUGUGAGUGAAUGAAGCGUAGCAAUUCCAUACCCAAAUGCAUAGCGUGGAAGUACAAGUGUUGAAGUAGGAAGUUGGAAAUGCAACAGUUUGGCAGUGAUCUCAGUUGGGCUCUCCAUGAAAACUCUGGGAACAAGUGAUCUCUGAGCUGCAGGAAAUGUCCAAUGUGGAAGGAGUACAGACAAAGAAGAAGAAAGAAACCACCUUCCUUAGUAGCAAAGGAAAGCUGGAAACUAGCAAGCCCAGAACAUUCUCUCUCUCUCUGGCCUUUUUGGAUAAGGACUGCUGGUGUCCUGGGCUAAAGUUCAGCAAGGAUGGCAUGAGCUAAUGUUGUGGAAACCAAGGCUCUUGCUUGACAAUGGAUUCUUUAUCCGUUUCUCUGUUUGCAUCAUCACUCGGAUGAGUCAACCUCUAGUCAUCUAGGGUUUUCGGGAAGCCGAACAUCUCACACAUUUUUUGAUGGGAGAUGCUGGAAUAGAAGCAAGUUGAUCUGGAGGUUUUGAAUCCUGUAAUUUAAUCACUGGGGAUAUACAUAUUUUGAAGAAAAUAAACAAGAUUAGGAGAAUUAGUUAAACCAUUAUACCCUGCUUUUCACACGUGCCUCAAACUGGCUUACAAAAAGAAAACAUACUGUGUGCAAAACUGAAAACAUAGUUGAAAGCCUCAGAAAAUAAAAACAUUAGAACAGUGUGCAUCCUGGAACAAAUCUGGUUUGACCUGACAUCUUACAUUUUGCAGGGACAGUGUCUGCCAGGUUUCUACUGGGAGGAAGUUCCAGACAAUGGAACUUUUUGUUGACGUGAGUCAUGCUUCUAGAUCAUGGGGGAACCAUAUAGUUGACUUGGUAUCCCAAAGCAAAUAGAUUGUGUGUAAACAGGUCUCUUGAAAAAAGAACUUUGAGGAAAGGGGGAGCUGAAAGCAGAGAGCUCGUAGUACAAAUCUGAAACAAAAAAGUACUUCUGGCUGCAGAGCAAUUAUUAAUACAGCUGGGGGAGAUAAUGGGUGCUUUAAUGAAAACCAAAAUUUGCAUGUAAUAUCCUUGUGAUUUUCUUGGAGACACGAAGGGUCACCCACUGUUUUAAAGCAAUUUUUCAUCCUAAAAAUCCUUUUGCAUAAAAGUAGGUGCUACAAGAAACAGAAAUGCCGCUCCUGCAUUGGAUUCUGUCUAGGGUUGUAUCAGUGCAGCUCACAAACCUACCUACUUGGAAGCAGAAUCAGGACUCCCUUCUAGAGGAGUUGCUAGUAGGGGCUGUGAUAGAAAACACCUGGAGUUAGGUGCAGCUUUGGGGAAUGACCUGGAAAAUGUCUCAGAUACCUUUUCAGAAGGAGCUCUGGAGAGCAGUAGUACCAGAGGGGCAAGCUGGAGUCUCUAUUAAGCCAGAGACAGAUGGAGAACCUCUGGAGAAGGGAACAUGGGUGCAAAGUGAUCCUGAAUUCCUUAAGGGAGUGAGUACAUAUAGGGAAGCAGACCUUGUUCAGUGAACCCCUUUACCUCAAUGUUUGCUUACAUGGAAAUGCGGGAAGGUCCUGGAAGGGAAUUGCAAGAGGGCUUUCCCCAUAUUCAAGCCUGUCCCAGAAAAAGGCUGAGUCAGAGCUGCCAGGAAAAGGACAGCCUUGCUUGAAGUAAAGUUAAGACUGCACUUAUUGUUUGCAGGAGAAUGACAUCACUGAGUGAGAUCAUUGGCAUGGACCGGGUUAUUCGCAGUGUGCUGUAACACCUAAUGUAAUGCCUAAUAAAAGCUGUUGAG